GGGGGGGGGGGGGGGGGGGGGUGGCGCGGGCGGGGCGGGCGGCGGCGCGGUGAGGGCUUGCUCUUGCGGGUGGCGAGUGGCGGACGGGGGCGGCAUACAUCGGCAUCUACUUUUUCGUGGGGGAUAACGUAGGGAAACUUACGCUAAUACCGCAUACGACCUACGGGUGAAAGCAGGGGAUCUUCGGACCUUGCGCGAUUGAAUGAGCCGAUGUCGGAUUAGCUAGUUGGCGGGGUAAAGGCCCACCAAGGCGACGCUCCGUAGCUGGUCUGAGAGGAUGAUCAGCCACACUGGAACUGAGACACGGUCCAGACUACUACGGGAGGCAGCAGUGGGGAAUAUUGGACAAUGGGCGCAAGCCUGAUCCAGCCAUACCGCGUGGGUGAAGAAGGCCUUCGGGUUGUAAAGCCCUGUUGUUGGGAAAGAAAAGCAGCAGGUUAAUACCCCGCUGUUCUGACGGUACCCAAAGAAUAAGCACCGGCUAACUUCGUG
rnacentral:rRNA from 1 species